rnacentral:rRNA from 1 species
CCUACGGGUGGCUGCAGUGGGGAAUAUUGCACAAUGGGCGCAAGCCUGAUGCAGCCAUGCCGCGUGUGUGAGGAAGGCCUUCGGGUUGUAAAGCACUUUCAGCGGGGAGGAAGGCGGUGAGGUUAAUAACCUCAUCGAUUGACGUUACCCGCAGAAGAAGCACCGGCUAACUCCGUGCCAGCAGCCGCGGUAAUACGGAGGGUGCAAGCGUUAAUCGGAAUUACUGGGCGUAAAGCGCACGCAGGCGGUCUGGCAAGUCGGAUGUGAAAUCCCCGGGCUCAACCUGGGAACUGCAUUCGAAACUGGCAGGCUAGAGUCUUGUAGAGGGGGGUAGAAUUCCAGGUGUAGCGGUGAAAUGCGUAGAGAUCUGGAGGAAUACCGGUGGCGAAGGCGGCCCCCUGGACAAAGACUGACGCUCAAGUGCGAAAGCGUGGGGAGCAAACAGGAUUAGAUACCCGGGUAGUC